ACACGACUCUCGGCAACGGAUAUCUCGGCUCUCGCAUCGAUGAAGAACGUAGCGAAAUGCGAUACCUGGUGUGAAUUGCAGAAUCCCGCGAACCAUCGAGUCUUUGAACGCAAGUUGCGCCCGAGGCCAUUCGGCCNAGGGCACGCCUGCCUGGGCGUCACGC
rnacentral:rRNA from 1 species